rnacentral:lncRNA from 1 species
AACCAUUUACCAUAAGUUCAUAUCAUCGUAAACUAGACUUAACAUUCCGAAAUUCCAAAUAAGAGAGAUAUUCUAACACUUUUACAAGGUAUAUCCAUUUCGGUUCAUCGACAACAUUUCAUUACAUACAAAAUAUACUUAUACAACAAUAACAUAAUAACCAACAAGACUUGCCCAUAAUUCUGAAUAGCUCUCCACUACCUCAGCCCAAUUCAAAA